AGGCCCGUCCCCGCUCCCGGUCCCCGUCCCUCCCCGCUCCGCCCCGGGCAGGGAUUGGAGCUGGGCCGGCCCGGCUCCUCCCGUCGCGGCUGCUCGGUGCAAGGAGGUUGGGGAGGGGGAGGAGGAGGAGGAGGAGGAGGAGGAGUGGGGGGGGUGGGAUCCGGCCGCGCCGAGCCCGGGCUGGCGGCUCCGCGCAGCUCGCCGCCGGGACGCCCCCUCCUCGUCCCCGCCGGAGCUCGGCAGCCCCGCUCCGGAAAUGCCUUUCUCGUGAAUGUGCAAGGAACCUACACCACUGUAAUGUCUAACACCACAUGGAAUAACAACUGUGUGAAGUUCCUAGGUGGGAGAGACACGGUGAGGCUCUGUGCGGGGCAAGGAGCGCUGAUGAGGGAGCCUUGCAUGUGAACCAGGAUGGACUGGCUGUGACGGCGUGCCUUAGCUGGAGAGGUAGUUACGAUGAAGAGUUCCUGCAGAGCUGGCCUCCACAGGGAACCGCUGAAUUCCUCUUCUUCCACCUUCCAUCAAGUCAAACGGUACGAAGAGACCAGCUGGUCCGCCUAUAAUUAAAUAUUUAGUACCAAUUUGGCCUUCUGCUUACUUUCUUGCUGUCUUGGGUGUCACUUAGUUGGUCUCAGUUCUUACUUUCGGAUACUCUUUAAGUGAAAUGGUGUAAUGGCCUAAGGGCAGAAGUGUUUUUUGACACUUUUAUUUGAUAAUGACAACUACAGACUAACUACAGCUGGUACUGUACUUGGUUUGUACUUGAUAUUUUCUAGCAACAGCUGUAAAUUAAUUUGGGAAUAUGGCUUUGAAGUAAAACUCAGUUGGAGGAUGGCCUGUCCUGGUAGGCUUUAAUACAUGCAGUCAGCUUAAAGCAAGCGGAAACACUGGCGAUCGUUGUUGUGGUUUGUCUUACUAAGGAGUAAGUAAUUGGAUUAGUUUAAGCUUAAAUUUUGUAUCGCUCGCUCUCCUGUGUCUCUUAUUCAGAAGAAGUGCACGAUUGAUUUCAAACACUUGUGCUUAUGUGACAAUUAAGUGAACGCCUCUCACUGUGUCUCGUUAUAGGAACACCGUACAGAACAACUUGUGCUCAUGCAAAUGCAAGAACGUGCGAGUUUGUUUGAGUUCAGGCUACUUGGAGGAAAAAAAAAAAAGCAUUUUUUUGAAACCAAGACUCUUCAACUUCCUCAAUCUGGAGGAAGAGAGCCAAAUUUCUUGUUUCCAAAAUUUGUGUGGUUUUAAAGUAAACUUUAACCUUUGUUCCUUGUGGUUAUGUAGACAACAUAUACUUGCUAUGUUAGUCUCGUGGUAAUUUAGUGCUGGAAAAGACUGCCUGGGUAGCCCAGCUCCUUGCUUUCCCAAGCAGUAUCUCAUAAUCCCUUUUGUAAACUUAGAAGUCCAGCCUAAAAACAAUGACACCUCUUCUCUCCUCCCAUAGAUUAGGCCGUUACCGAAGAUGACAGAUCUAACUGUGCAGUUGGGAUCCUUCUUUUGAUUCCCAGGCUGAACAUUCAUGCCAGCUUAUAGAUUUGUUUGAGCUUGCGUUGUCAUUUUAUUUUUUUUUUUGCAUAAGGACCGCUUCUUUUCAGUGGUUUAUCUCUUUUGCUGUAUUCAGGGAAAUGCAGCAGUAUUCCCUCACCUGUGGUUUUGCAGCACGAAAUGACCCCAGCGUUUUCAAGGAGCUUCUUGAAUAGUGACUGCUGCUGUUCUCAGCCUGGGUGAGUCUCCUCUGAGUCAUGGCAAAAACUGUGUGCUGAACUCCAGAGGAGACCUUGUAGGAGGGCUUUGAAGUGAUGCCUUGAAUGUAUCACAGAUCUGCCUCGGUGCCGUAGCUGUGUCUAUGGUAGCUAACGCAUCGCUCUCGGUUAACUCCGACACGUCUUGGUGUUCUGCAGCUUUCUGGUGCAUCGCCGUCUGUACCUCCGAAUUCUGCCUCGCUGCUAUUUCUGGGAGCUUUGUGCCUCCUCUGUGUUGGUAAUGCCUUUCAUUUCUGUCAGAGCACCUGCAGUGUUCUUGCUGAGGUCACUUGUAACAAACCCAAAUCGUUCCCCAGGCUGAUUCCUGAGGCAUGGCUUUGGUUUCCAGGCUGGUAUCUUAUUAUUCAGCGUCACCUGGGACUGUCUGCUGUUAAGCCAGCUUCUUUGUCUGUUUUACCUUUUCUUGUCAAUCUGUUUUAACCAGUAAAUCUCCUCGUGCCCCCUCAAGUCCGUAUCAGUAAACCACAGUACGUGGCAUUUUUCAAGAUCUUUUUUGGAGAACCUUCAGGUUAGUCUUGCACAUUGAACUCUUCCUUCCCCCACUCUUUAUCUGUGGCUUUGUAAUCCUCUUUUCUUGCAGAGCACCUUUUUGUAUCGAAGUCAGCCUAGCUGGCCUGGAGGUGCUGAGAUCUCUCUCCCUUCUCUUUCUCCCCUGCAGCACCGCCUGUGAUGUGCCACAUGUUUUAUUAAUGCUGAAUGUUGCCUUUCAAGAGGUUUAUAAAUCUUCUUGCCCUGCAGUUUAUGGAUCUGUUUUGGAAUCUAAAAUUGAAAGGAGCCAUUCCUUGCAAUCUUCAUGAUGCUUUUUAAUCUUCCCACCCUGCCACCUCCCAGUGUUCUUGUUCAAGUUAACCCCGUGCCUUGUGGCCUCCUGAUCAUCGUUAGCACCCCCUUGAAAAAAAUGCAAACUCAAAUUUAGUGCUUUGUGCUUUACCUGGAGUACUCUUAAUCUCUGCCCUGACCUGGCUUGCAGCCCUAUUUCUUUCCCUAUCCUCUCUCACAAACUGGGGAACCUUUUACUAUUUCUUUUCCUAUAUGUUUGCAGGGACUAACCCUGCACCAGUUCUUAAGCUUAUUCCUAGACUUUUUAGGUUUCUUAAGUUUUAACUUUCCAGGUGAUACUGACCUGAUGAUUUGUGGUUGUUUCUUGUAUCCUUCUGGGAGAAGGAAUGUAUUCAAGUGGAGUUUCUUCAGUUCUUACUUGGGAUGUGUUCUUUAUAAUGAAAAUACCUUUUGGCUCCUGGAGAAUGCCUCCUGGGUUGCUCUGUCUGCAGUGAAAUCCUCUAUACCGCGGUGCAGCCCCCUUCUUCAACCAGUUCCUUUAGGUCUUGAGUUUCAAAAGAACAAACCGGUGACUUGCCUUCGGAUCUACUUUUGCUUAUUCUGUCUUCUGAGCUCUGAGUUUCUCACUGAUGGCGCAGUCCAAGGUUAAUUCCUACAACCUUUCACGCGUUCUCAUUAUGUGUGCACAAAAGUGAAGACUCAGUAGCAUCCCUUUGUGUUUGUUUGAAGAAAUUUGUUGUGCCAUCAUAUCCAGAAAGAUCUUGGUCCUGUAGCAGCAGUAAAUAAGAGAACAAGUCUUACAUCAAGAAAGAUAACAUUUCCAGGAGGAAACAUGAUUAUUUCUGGAGAAUUGGGGAAUGUCUGUCUGUGCUGCUCUGAUCUGCGUUCAGCAGAAGCCCGAUAAAACCAGCACUUCUUUCCUCACUGUCCUUUUUCCAAAUGACUCCACGUAUGUGAUUCUUUCUUGUCCUUGUCUGUUGCACCACAGGCAUGCUUUCUAUCCCAUCAUCUUUGAGCUAAAUGUUUUUGGCCCAGCUUUGAGUGACUUUGAACACCAGAUCUUUCAGUUGACUUUGUUUCCCUCUGCUUGGUCAUCCCUGUGUCAUCUGUAGUGUGGCUGGGAAGUAGGGGACAUGGACUUGAGCUUCUUGAGGCUCAACAAAGAAUCGGUUCUACAUUGCUCACGUGAUGGUAAGUGCUUUUAUACAAAGACUGGCGAAGAAAUGCCACUUUUUCUUGUCUAUAAUGUAGAAAGUAGUGGAGUACACCAUGGUUUAUGUGAAUAUGCUUACUGUGAAGUGUGUUCAAACCUUAUCAAUGGGUGGGAGCCCUCAAACUUGAGUUGCCUGCGCAUCAGGCUGGGCCGUGCAAUCUGUCACCCGAAACUUCUUGCUGAAGAUGACAUUUUUUUGCAUGACUCUUAUCUCGUGCGUGUAGCUAUAUUUGAGUGUCGUCACCCCACAAGUUAUUUGAACACCUGAAGUGGUUGAACACGCUGUGGGGGACCCAAGGUUAAGAAUUGGGCAUUUACUUGGCAUUUAGCUCCUCUGCUGUCUAGGGCCAACCCCGACCCACUUGUGCAUGCCUUGCUCCUGCUCCCUCCUGCUCCUCCUUGCUUCGGCACUCACACCUUCUGUCUACCUGCAAAGCCUGCAGCAAUCCUUGCUUCCUCUGGCUGACGCAGGAUGCAGUUAGACAGGCACGAGGGGAUGCUGAGCAGUUGCUUUAGCAUGAAGUUAGUGCUGCAAGGGAGUGGGUUUUCUAGAAAUCAAAUGCUUCCACAGCUGCUGAGGUUGAACCAGCCCCGCUCUGGAGCGUUGAGCUUCCCAACCCGCCUUUCCCCGAGCUUGGAUGUUCGCCACGCGCCAGAGCAAGCUCCAGUGAGUAGCAGAGCAUCGUCCAUCCUGGCUGCUACGCUGGGACUUUCCCGCCCCGGCAGAAUCCGUGGAAUGUCUUUGAAGCAGCUCUCCGUCUGCUCUGCCUGCCCCAGCAGCACGAAGGGGAUGGAAACGGUACUGGAGAGUGAGCCCAGAGGACCCACGGAGCCCUUCCAGAAACAACAAGUGGUUGACCAUGGCUGAACUUGCACGCGGUGCUCAGUCCUCCCUAAUUGUCGGUUCUGUGCUGAGGAGCUCAGUUUUAUGUCAGAAAAAUGGGGUGCCAGGGAGGAGACGUGCCCUGCCAGAGGUUAUGCUUGGGUUUUCAUUGUUGUUGGCUUUUUCUUUCUCUUAUUUUUUUGGCCGAUGCCUCGUGUUAGUAUGUCCUGAGGGUUUUUUUGGAGUUGUAGUUGGCACGGCACGCGCAGUUAGCAAUACUAGGAACUCUUGCCUACUGCAGUUAGUGUUUACAGAAAGAAAUUCACAGGAAACUUUGGGGUUUUGAUGGAAAUUUUUGCCUUAAUAAAACCUUCCGGUGCUUUGCCCAGAAAACUCAGCGUGAAUGUGCUGUUGGAGUGUAUCAUACUGUGAGGUUUUGUUGUUCUUCUUCGUGCUGGCCAGAGGAAACCUUUUGGCUUCAUGGGGCACUGUGGGAGCCCAGCCCGAGGUGCAGGAUGGGACAUGUAGGCUCUCUGUGAUCCCAGGAAGCUGGGAAAAUGGAGCCUUUUCUACCAGUUUUUCCUCCAUCAUUGGAGCUUCUACUAAAGGUGAUAUUUUAUUUUUAGGCUGCUGUGAAUUACAAGAUAUAUAAAGGCAAAAGGAUGCAGAAAGAUUCUGGUCAACUUGGCGCAGCAGCUUAUGGAUCUUCCCUUCGGUAGGGAGAGGAGAGCUGCCACAAUUAUCUGCUUGCCAGCACUGAAGUGUCGCAGGAAUAAGCUCCUCUUAAUGAAGGGUGCUGAGCUGAUUUGUAAUGCCGGAUUCCUGAAAAUGGCUCCAAGAAAGCCUUUUUAACCCAGAAUUGGGCUCAUCUUUCAAACACCCUGGCACGAGAACUCAGGAAUGAAAUCCGAUCUUCCCUUCCUAGCUCCUGGGGUCUCGACGCGGAGGGCUGCGCGUUCAACCGUGCUCACCUCUUUUUCCCAGGGAGCUGCGGUGAGCUGCCACCGGAGCUUUUCCAUCUGGGAGUUUUUCCACCUGGGAAGCACCUCUCCGAAAUGCGGAUGGCGAAGGGCGGGCUCCAGGCCUGGCUCUGCAGCAGCUGCUUGCAGGGAUUCAGCUGCCGCUCUCGGGGCUGGGCUCUGACCCAAGCACAUCGGUGGCCUGACCCCGAUCAGCCCUGAAGUGCAGCAGAGAUGACGCAGACCCUACGGAAAACCAGGCUCCAGCAAACUGGCAGCAGCCGCGAGUUCCCGUUCUCUCUUACCCAUCCGUUUCAGCACCCUGAAGCUCCAGUUUUAGGGCAUCAUUGCAGUUUUUAGCAUCCAACUGAGAAGGAAAAUAGCUCCGUUGCGUUUUGCAGAGGAGCCUAAAUUGGGAAGUGCCCCAGUUCCAUCAGGAGGCACGGGCAGGGGACGAAGGCAGGGACCAGGUAGGUGCACCCACGGUGACGGGAGCUCUUUUGUCCCUGUAGCUGAAGUGAAGAUGGCUUUGGUGCUCUCAGCUUGCAGGAGAGAGGUGAUCUGCCUGUAAAAUCAGGAGGGAGACCAACCAGCAGUUACCGAGUGUCUGCACUGGCUGAUACACGGGGCAGCUCUGCGUGGAAGCCUUUAAUCAAGUUGGUUUUAGAUGAGAAACGACCAAAAAAAACACGUUUUGGUGGUAGCUGCGAGGGGAAAUGUGUUCAGUGCCUGGCUGUGUCCGUACCAGCUCACGGUGAACGCGGCGUUGAACUCGGUGUUGUUAACCUACCAGUCACGGAUCAGCCCUGUUUCCAAAAGGGUUCCUUUUAAUUAACAAUUCCCAGAUUGCCGUGGAAACCUAAUCUAUAGUUAGUUCUGUAAUACGCUUACAUGGUGGCUCUGGGGGAAGAGCCUGAAGCCUCCUGACGAUUGGAUUCUACGCGGCGGUGCCCUGGGCUUCUGCGUUUUUUUGAGCUUUGCGUUGGAGAUGAACACGGAGGUGUAGCAGAAGGGAGGAACGGAGAGCCGGGGACUGUCACACGAGUGGUACUGCUCUAAUGCCAGCAGCCUCCAGGCGUCUUCUGCACAGCUCGUAGGUUCCUGACCAUAAAGGUGCUCACUUGAAAGGGGUUCUCUCCAGCCGUGCUUGAGGCUUCUGUCACUUCUCUGGAGCAGGCGUCUUACGAAUAGCGCAGGAACCCUGAUGGGAGAGCACACCACGUCUGCCCUUCCUGAUGGACUAAAGGAACUAGUAUUAGGUGGUGUUAGGAAUGUGGAUAUCUGCCGGGCUCUGUUGGUCAAUAUAAUUGCACUUGGUAACUUCCCUUUCCAGCUUUAACUGCGCUUUAUCUUCUGAGAAGUCUGUACAGCUGGCAGCUAAGGUCAAGACAAGCCCUUCGACCCGCAGGUGCCUUACAACUGGAUCCAGAGAUGAAUGGACAGGAGGAUUGCUCUAACUCUGUAAUGAACCCUUGGCUAUGUUUGUGCACCCGCCGUAAGUUAAGCAUUAGGAUUUCUCCUUGGAGCUCCCCAGAAACAAAUUUCUCAAGUGGGAAGAUCUCUGCUACCCUAAAGAUUGUAAUCCCGUUGCGAGACGUGAGUAGAAGUUCUCCGAGGGUGAAUAUCACAGCCCGGCCGCUGCUGUUCCUUUUUCAUGUGGUUUCUUUUGAGGUGUGGGCUGCUUGAUGUAGAGCAGGAGACAUGCUGGUGCCUACUCCGGGCCUUCUUCUCUAAUUCCAGGCAGGCAUAUUUUGCAACUAUAAUUUCUUCCCUUUCUGUUUUUCUAGGGUUUCUGGUAUGCACUUAAAGCCAUAUCUCAAGUUACAGAAGAAAGAGCGAUCU